ACUAACUCUACUUACAUCCUUAAAUAUUUUGGUACUUGGCUUUUGAAGGACAUUUUGGGCUUAUAUCAGUAGUCAAAAUCUAAUGUAUCAUUCUCCAGUGAUGCCUGAAAUGGUACCAUCGUAGGAUUUUCUUAGCCAAAACCAUGUCAUACAGAAUUAAUGUUUGUAUUGAAGAUGUUUCAUAAGCUUUAUAUCAUCAUUCCUCUAUAUUGGUAUUUCAGAGUGAUUGGUCAGCAAUCGAUGUCCCAUGUCCAGCUUAAAUGAAGCGGCCCUUUCCAUUUCCCUAUAAAAAUUUAUUUUUUUAAUCACCUAAUUUGCUGUUCAUGAGCUGUGUACAAGAUAGCAACAAUCAUUUGGCUAAAGCAAUCAUUAGUUACGGUGUAAAUAUUAUAUUUGGGCUGCUGCUGGAUUGAAACUCCAUAUGCACCUGCUCUGUUAUUGGAUUUAUUUUUAAAAUGGGUUUUAAAUUGCAUCUUGCAGGGUUUUGUGUAUGCUG